rnacentral:sRNA from 1 species
AACGUCUGUCGCUGAUCUCUCCCUUCCCCUGGAGUGAUCUGGAACGUAAGACUUCUCCCCGAGUCCCGUUCCACCGAGCCCCGCAGGCCCCCCCUGCCUGCGGGGCUUUUUA